rnacentral:rRNA from 1 species
UACGUAGGGUGCAAGCGUUGUCCGGAAUUAUUGGGCGUAAAGCGCGUGUAGGCGGCCACACAGGUCCGCUGUGAAAACUCGAGGCUCAACCUCGAGCUGUCGGUGGAAACCGUGUGGCUAGAGUCCGGAAGAGGAGACUGGAAUUCCCGGUGUAGCGGUGGAAUGCGCAGAUAUCGGGAGGAACACCCGUGGCGAAGGCGGGUCUCUGGGACGGUACUGACGCUGAGACGCGAAAGCGUGGGGAGCGAACAGG